GACGAUGGGGCAGGCUGGAGUCACCUGGACUUGGACUCUGCAGGUCUGAACAGACUGCUAUGGUCCACACAGCCAGUAACUGAGAGGAUUGGAAGAUGGAUAUGUUUUCUCUUCUAGACAAAGAGUCUCAGGCCAAGCUUGGGGCCUGUGUGAGGGACAAGUGAACUCUGGGUAGGUUCUAGCUGCCCUGGGGCAGUCUGUUGCUAUUUCGGUUGAAUUGGAGAUAGCUCUUCAAUCUGCCUGUGGCCUGUGAGGUAUGGAACUUGAAGGCUGGGAGGAAGAAGAAGGAAGAGAAGGAGAAGAGAAAGAGGCAAAGGAGGGCAGGAUAGGAGCUCUUCAUUUCGUGUCCUGGCUUUGACUGUGAUUUUUGAGGUGGCUCUACCUCAGAGAAAUACAAAAAUGCCUGGCAUCCUGCUGACUUCUCAGCUCAGUCUGAGACUGCUGCUAUGUCUCUCAACAACUGCAGCUGUGUCUUAGUACAUAAAUGAUCAGGCUUCCUGACAGCCCAUCUCAUCCUACAAAAACACACCAGUGCCCACUUAUCUCUACUCCCACUAGCACAUCACCAAAUUCUACAGAUUUCUGGGGCGUUCUGGGCCAGACUUCAUGACGGCUGUACACACUGACUUCUGCUCUCCACCUACCUCUCCUCAUCUGUACAUCUCGGAGUACCAGGAUCCUUGUGUUGCAACCCUUCAUAAAAGCAUCCACUAUCAGAGGCCCCUGAUUGAGACUCAAUAGCCAGCUUGAUUCUGGCCAAAGAGAGUGGAGGCAAGCCAAGACGGCACUUACUGCAUCUGUUUCUCCAAUUGUCACCUGCUCAGAGAAUCGGACCUUCACGGGAUUGGACCUCAGCUUGGCCUUCUUUGCAGCACUGAUGAAGGCAGAUUUAGGGGACUGGAAAAAGAACAAAGGGCUGGCCAGCUGUUGUAUGAGGAGUCCUUGCCACAUGUUCUUGCUGUGAUGAGCUCUGCCAUGCAUUCCUUGCCAAACUGGACUGAAAUUCCCCUGAAACCAUGAGCCAGAAUAAAUCCUUCUUCCCUGAAAA
rnacentral:lncRNA from 1 species